rnacentral:rRNA from 1 species
GACGAACGCUGGCGGCGUGCCUAAUACAUGCAAGUUGAGCGCUGAAGGUUGGUACUUGUACCAACUGGAUGAGCAGCGAACGGGUGAGUAACGCGUGGGGAAUCUGCCUUUGAGCGGGGGACAACAUUUGGAAACGAAUGCUAAUACCGCAUAAAAACUUUAAACACAAGUUUUAAGUUUGAAAGAUGCAAUUGCACCACUCAAAGAUGAUCCCGCGUUGUAUUAGCUAGUUGGUGAGGUAAAGGCUCACCAAGGCGAUGAUACAUAGCCGACCUGAGAGGGUGAUCGGCCACAUUGGGACUGGGACACGGCCCAAACUACUACGGGAGGCAGCAGUAGGGAAUCUUCGGCAAUGGACGAAAGUCUGACCGAGCAACGCCGCGUGAGUGAAGAAGGUUUUCGGAUCGUAAAACUCUGUUGGUAGAGAAGAACGUUGGUGAGAGUGGAAAGCUCAUCAAGUGACGGUAACUACCCAGAAAGGGACGGCUAACUACGUG